rnacentral:rRNA from 2 species
GUAGGAAUACCCGCUGAACUUAA